AUUUUGUAAAACAAAAUGACCGCAGGCAGCGAGGGAGAACUCAGCUCAGCUCCCUUGCGCACCCAGCAGUGAUGCCGGAGCCGGAAUAUGAUGUUACUCUGGCUCCUGCAUCACUAAAAGGCGCGCAAGGGAGCUGAGCAGGGAAAUCACUGCUCCCUCACAGCCUGCACGCCAGCCGCUCAGCAGUCCCACUGGACCCCACGGACCGUCCGCCACUUGCUCAGAAGACCCACUGGACCCCACGUACCGCCCACCACUUGCUCAGCAGCCCCACUGGACCCCAGGGACUGCAUGCCAGCCGCUCAGCAGCCACACUGGACCCUAGGAACCGCACGACACUUGCUCAGCAGCCCCACUGGACCCCAGGGACUGCACGCCAGCUGCUCAGAAGCCCCACUAGACCCCUGGGACUGUACGCCCAUCCCAGCAGCCCCACUGGACCACAGAGACAUAGAGACUCCAUGCCAGCACUCCCAAAGAUAGGGAG